ACGACUUAUGGUCGGUCGCUAUAGAGGUAAGUGUGUGACUGAUGGUGGGUCGCUAUAGAGGUACGUGAUUUUUGUGUUUCUUAUUUACUCACCAAAGCCCAUCUAAAGGCCUGCUAAACAAACAAAUGAAACCCUAUUCCACGCGCGCAGCCGUCGUCACUUCUCCCAUGGCCACCCCUCCCAAAGCCAUGGCGGGUGCCACCGCCACUGCCCACUACUCACUCAGCCGUCCGCCCAACCCUAUCUCUUGCACACACCUCAUCUUCUCCAUCCCCUCCCCGUCUUCCUCUAGCGCCAGCCACCAGGGAGGUUCGAGCUCGCCCCCUCCGUGCCCUCCCUGCUCGCUGCCCUCCAGCUCGCCAGUCGUGCUCAGCUCUGCUCCAUCUUCCUGCGCCGCCCAAGUCCAGUCAGGAACUUCCUAGCGCCUCCCUCUCUGUUCCUGCGCUCGGUGCCCAUCCCUGUGGUGCUCAGCGUUUCUCCCUCUCUGGUAGCCGCAGCCCUAGCUCGUCCAUGGCGUUUGGGCCAAAGUUCCUUAUCCCCUUCACGCUGGCCGUCCUUGUUCAGCCAUGGUCACAUGGUGGUGGAACACCUAGGUCCGUCCACGGUCGCUCCCUUCGUCGUUGGUGCUCGACGACCUCUGCUGCUUCUCCUCUGGUGUCCUUCCGGUGUGAGUGCCCUCACCCUAGCGGGCAGCAGCAGUAACCAUGGAACAUUGGAAACCCCUCUGGGUCACGCCCUCAACAUGCUCGAUGAUAUGCUACAACGAGCUCCACCUCGAUCUAUGCCGUCCUGGCAUCGUCGCGCAGCGAGCUCCGCCAUCGAUCUGCGCAACCGCUGUUCGGUUGUUGUUCCGCCUCCGUCGACCUCCUCCAUGCACGAGCAGCAGCAGCCCCGUGAUCUCCGCGUCGCGUGCACCGAUCCGAUCCGCGUAGCCCCAACGUGUCGACGUCGUCGGCUCCAUGAUUUUUGGGCAGCCCGGUUGCGGUGUCGUGAAACCCAGGCGAGGCAUCCUUUUCUUUAUAUAUUCAAUUUAGUUUUCGCUUGGCAUCGAUGGUUAGCUGUUGAUUAUAUUUAUAUGAAUAUGUGUGUUUUGUGAGGAGAGGAAUUUCAUGUGUGUGAAGAGAAGCAAGGCACGUGGCGCUUGCAAGGUGUCAAAUAGAAAGACCGAACCCAAACCACAGCUCGGCCUCCAUAGCUCGGCUUCCACUCACAUCAAAUUCCACGGCUUCCACGCCUAGUGAAGAUGAGGAAGACAGGAGUAACAUUCCUACAGUUACUAUUCAGAUAUUGAUCGAACCAUGAAGAAGUUAACUAUUCAGAUAUUCAGAUCUUUCUUCUGGUUCUUGAUCUGGAAAAGGUUUGGUGUGUAAAUGAUAAAGACAAGGUUCAACUCUCACCCUCUGACCAAUCCAAAUUUUACACUGGCGAUUGCUACAUAUUUCAGUAUACUUAUCCUAGAGAUGAUAAGAAGGAAUGUCUUAUUGGAACCUGGUUUGGGAAAAAGAGUAUUGAGGAGGAUAGGCUAAUAGCAGUUUCACUUGCAAGCAAGAUGGUUGAAUCUGCUAAGUUUCAGGCUGUCCAGGCGCGCUUUUAUGAGGGGAAAGAACCGAUUCAGUUCUUUGUGAUUAUCAAUCAGUGCGGGAGUGAUGUCGUUGUGGUGCUUUUGAACCUAUUAUUAGAAUGCAUCAGUCAAACUCGCCUUCAGUCUAGUGGCGUUGUACUCCCAUUUCAACAAACUGUAAAUGAUCUAGUUGUGAAUGAUAUUAUAAUUGUGAUGCUUUUGUGAAUAUAUAAUUGUGGUGCUUUUGUGUUUA